AUAUCUUUCUCGGCCUUUUGGCUAAGAUAAGUGUAGUGUGUGUUUAUUAGCAUAAUAUCUGAUACGUAGGCUAAUGGCUCAUACGAUAUGAAAUUUAUUUUUGAGGGUGAGAACCUUUCAUAAUAGCUUGAGCUUGAAUCGAGCUCAAACUCGAACUUGAAUUAAGCUCAAACUCGAGCUUGAAUCGAGCUCAAAUU